UUCAGGGUAUUUUAAGAAGAAUAUGAGUUUUGUAAAUUUAGGGUUGGUUCUGGCU
rnacentral:tRNA from 1 species